UACGAAGGGGGCUAGCGUUGUUCGGAAUUACUGGGCGUAAAGCGUAUGCAGGCGGAUCGUUAAGUCGGGGGUGAAAUCCCGAGGCUCAACCUCGGAACUGCCUUCGAUACUGGCGACCUUCGAGUCCGGGAGAGGUGAGUGGAACUCCGAGUGUAGAGGUGAAAUUCGUAGAUAUUCGGAAGAACACCAGUGGCGAAGGCGGCUCACUGGCCCGGUACUGACGCUGAGAUACGGAAGCGUGGGGAGCAAACAGG
rnacentral:rRNA from 1 species